GUCGAACGGUAACAUUUCUAGCUUGCUAGAAGAUGACGAGUGGCGGACGGGUGAGUAAUGCUUGGGAACUUGCCUUUGCGAGGGGGAUAACAGUUGGAAACGACUGCUAAUACCGCAUAAUGUCUACGGACCAAACGGGGCUUCGGCUCCGGCGCAAAGAGAGGCCCAAGUGAGAUUAGCUAGUUGGUAAGGUAACGGCUUACCAAGGCGACGAUCUCUAGCUGUUCUGAGAGGAAGAUCAGCCACACUGGGACUGAGACACGGCCCAGACUCCUACGGGAGGCAGCAGUGGGGAAUAUUGCACAAUGGGGGAAACCCUGAUGCAGCCAUGCCGCGUGUGUGAAGAGGGCCUUCGGGUUGUAAAGCACUUUCAGUUGUGAGGAAAAGUUAGUAGUUAAUACCUGCUAGCCGUGACGUUAACAACAGAAGAAGCACCGGCUAACUCCGUGCCAGCAGCCGCGGUAAUACGGAGGGUGCGAGCGUUAAUCGGAAUUACUGGGCGUAAAGCGCACGCAGGCGGUUUGUUAAGCUAGAUGUGAAAGCCCCGGGCUCAACCUGGGAUGGUCAUUUAGAACUGGCAGACUAGAGUCUUGGAGAGGGGAGUGGAAUUCCAGGUGUAGCGGUGAAAUGCGUAGAUAUCUGGAGGAAC
rnacentral:rRNA from 1 species